rnacentral:rRNA from 1 species
CUUGGUCAUUUAGAGGAAGUAAAAGUCGUAACAAGGUUUCCGUAGGUGAACCUGCGGAAGGAUCAUUACAUAUUGAGCGCGGCUGGGAUCUCCAAGCGCUGCUGCUUGCCUCUGGUAAGCGCGGUGCUUGCCCAGUCUGCGUGAAUAUUCACCCAUGUCUUUUGCGUACUUCUUGUUUCCUUGGCGGGUUCGCCCGCCAUUAGGACCAACUUAAACCUUUUGUAAUUGCAGUCAGCGUCAGUAAAAUUUAAUUAUUACAACUUUCAACAACGGAUCUCUUGGUUCUGGCAUCGAUGAAGAACGCAGCGAAAUGCGAUAAGUAGUGUGAAUUGCAGAAUUCAGUGAAUCAUCGAAUCUUUGAACGCACAUUGCGCCCAUUGGUAUUCCAAUGGGCAUGCCUGUUCGAGCGUCAUUUGUACCCUCAAGCCUUGCUUGGUGUUGGGUGUUUGUCCUCUAGGACUCGCCUUAAAACAAUUGGCAGCCGGCAUAUUGGUUUCGGAGCGCAGCACAAAUUGCGGUCCUUCCAUGAAUGUCGGCAUCCAUGAAGCCCCCAUUUUCCACUUUUGACCUCGGAUCAGGUAGGGAUACCCGCUGAACUUAAGCAUAUCAAUAAGCGGAGGA